AUUGAACGCUGGCGGCAGGCCUAACACAUGCAAGUCGAACGAGUGGCGGACGGGUGAGUAAUGUCUGGGAACGUGCCUGAUGGCGGGGGAUAACUACUGGAAACGGUAGCUAAUACCGCAUACCAUCGGAUGUGCCCAUAUGGGAUUAGCUAGUAGGUGGGGUAAAGGCUCACCUAGGCGACGAUCCCUAGCUGGUCUGAGAGGAUGAUCAGCCACACUGGAACUGAGACACGGCCCAGACUCCUACGGGAGGCAGCAGGGGGGAAUAUUGCACAAUGGGAGCAAGCCUGAUGCAGCCAUGCCGCGUGUAUGAAGAAGGCCUUAGGUUUGUAAAGGACUUUCAGUGGGGAGGCGUUACCCACAGAAGAAGCACCGGCUAACUCCGUGCCAGCAGCCGCGGUAAUAC
rnacentral:rRNA from 1 species